GAUGAACGCUGGCGGCGUGCCUAAUACAUGCAAGUCGAGCGAACAGACGAGGAGCUUGCUCCUCUGACGUUAGCGGCGGACGGGUGAGUAACACGUGGAUAACCUACCUAUAAGACUGGGAUAACUUCAGGAAACCGGAGCUAAUACCGGAUAAUAUAUUGAACCGCAUGGUUCAAUAGUGAAAGACGGUUUUGCUGUCACUUAUAGAUGGAUCCGCGCCGCAUUAGCUAGUUGGUAAGGUAACGGCUUACCAAGGCAACGAUGCGUAGCCGACCUAAGAGGGUGAUCGGCCACACUGGAACUGAGACACGGUCCAGACUCCUACGGGAGGCAGCAGUAGGGAAUCUUCCGCAAUGGGCGAAAGCCUGACGGAGCAACGCCGCGUGAGUGAUGAAGGUCUUCGGAUCGUAAAACUCUGUUAUUAGGGAAGAACAAAUGUGUAAGUAACUAUGCACGUCUUGACGGUACCUAAUCAGAAAGCCACGGCUAACUACGUG
rnacentral:rRNA from 1 species